GAUGAACGCUGGCGGCGUGCCUAAUACAUGCAAGUCGAGCGAACAGACGAGGAGCUUGCUCCUCUGACGUUAGCGGCGGACGGGUGAGUAACACGUGGAUAACCUACCUAUAAGACUGGGAUAACUUCGGGAAACCGGAGCUAAUACCGGAUAACAUGUUGAACCGCAUGGUUUAACAGUGAAAGACGGUCUUGCUGUCACUUAUAGAUGGAUCCGCGCCGCAUUAGCUAGUUGGUAAGGUAACGGCUUACCAAGGCAACGAUGCGUAGCCGACCUGAGAGGGUGAUCAGCCACACUGGAACUGAGACACGGUCCAGACUCCUACGGGAGGCAGCAGUAGGGAAUCUUCCGCAAUGGGCGAAAGCCUGACGGAGCAACGCCGCGUGAGUGAAGAAGGUCUUCGGAUCGUAAAACUCUGUUAUUAGGGAAGAACAAAUGUGUAAGUAACUAUGCACGUCUUGACGGUACCUAAUCAGAAAGCCACGGCUAACUACGUA
rnacentral:rRNA from 1 species